GGGCUCGCUUCGGCAGCAUGUAAACUAAAACUGAAACAAAUCAGAGAAGAUUAGCAUGGCCCCUGCGAAAGGAUGACAUGCAAAUUCGUGAAGCGUUAUACAUUUAA